ensembl:lncRNA
UUAUGUAUUUAAAUUUAAAUUUUCCCAUAUGUGCAACAUUUAGUGCAAAAUGAAAACAGAAAUUCCAUUAUAUAAUUUACAUUUGCCAUUUCCUACACAAGUUUUGAUAUAUGUAAAUUAAAUAAAUAUUUUAACAUUUUAUAAGUUGUAAAAUGAAAAUGAAAACGUAUUCCCCAAAUUGAUUGUUUAACAUGUUUUACAUUAUAAAAUGAUUAUUGCUACCCAUAUGCUUCUAUAUAUUUCUAGCGGGGUAUUCUUUUGAGUCUUUUGUUUUUAACUUGUGUAAUGAAUUGUGACGUUAUAUUAUGUAAUAUAAUAUAAAACGUUUUUAGGAUAGAAUUUCCAGAAAACAAAAAUAUCUUGAAAUAUACAGUGCUUUAAACUGUUUGUAUAAACUGACAGUGAACUAGGCCUACAUGUCAUUUGGUAUUACAACAAGCUCAUGUUUGUGUAGUCUAUAAAGAAUAUCUGUAAUAGUUCUCAUACCAUUAUAACUGGAAUGAAAGUGUGACUAGCCGGUCUUCCCUAAUAAGGUGUGUGUAAAUGUAACGUGUUCAAUAUAACAACAUACUGUGGCCUCCACUCAUACUGGUUCAGCUGUGUCUCUCAUUCAAACCCCGUUUGUAGUAGUAAUAGUCGAGCUGCUUUCAUGUAAUUCACUGCUGGCACCACUAGAGCCUGCAAAAUGACAGCUCACCAAUCUCAAGACUGCUUUCGAGCAAGAGGGGACCGCUCAUACAAUGGGAGUCUGUAGUCAGCCUGCGGUAAACCAGCCUCUCCGGACUAACCCCGUACGCGCUCGGACUGCUGACGAUCUAGCGCGCGGAUAACGCCAGUCCAGUCGAGCUGCAGCGACGCUUUUAUUUACUUUGUUUGGGAUUCACCACAAGGAACCGUGAACAGGCUCCUAAAUGACAAGGAUGGGAAGUGCUCGUACACAGCCUGAACUCUCGGGAAGUUUGCGGAUUUCUGGCUCCAAGACGCACUUUAAGCAAGACCCCAGGACUUUGUGAUCAGGUUACAACAUCUAUUGUUUAUAUAAUGUUUAAGUAACAAAGCAAACAACGUUGCAUUAGGAACUCUUUCUCUUGGGCCAACUUUAAUCAAACACAAGCAUCAAAUAGGGACGUUAAAUUGAUGUUUAACGUUCUUAACAAUGCCUUGCUAACAUUUUUUGGAUAACCUAUAAGCAUCUGAGAUCUAUAUAAAGGGUUUGCUGAAUAUACCAGAUCAACUGCUUACAAAAAUUUAGUGAAAGGAUAAUCAUUUUUAGAAAACAUGCUCAACCGGUUGAGAUGUCCAUUAAAGAUAGAAGUGCACUUUCAUUUCUGUAUUAAUAUCACUGAUUUUAACUGAAAUAAAUAAUUUUGUUUAGAUUAACA